AUAAGGUAAUUUCUAGUAAUAUGAAGCUGCACUUAGGACUUAAUGAAUCAAGGAUGAAUCAAGGGGAAAGUAUCGAAGCUGACAGACACUUGGAUGAGCAGUUGUGGAGUUUGGAUAAGCAAGAUAGGGAGUUUUUCUUGGUCAAGAAAUAUUUGGGGAGGAUGGUGAAAGGAGAAUCUGGAUCAAGUUGUAGGAAGAGCAACAAUAGGUGGGAGUAUUGCGGGUCGCUGGGGGUGAAGGGACGGGUGGAAAGCGAGCAUGGAGCUGCCCCAAUAUAUAUAGUGGUGUAAGGUGGAGGAGCCAGCAGUGGUGACGGGUCCAGGGUCGAGGUAACACCGCUGCGCAUCACCAUAAAUUACCAUCGAGCUCUUUCAGCACUGGUCACGAGCUCCCUCAACGCCAGAGCGUGACACACUUAACAGAUUGAUGAAGAUUAAGCUACCCAAGUGGUGGCACGGGCAUGAAUAACCCAUAAAGACUAUUAGUGAGAGAGGACCAGGUGGAGUAGCCAGAAGAUUCCGUGGCGUCUUGCAGGUUGAGAACCCCAGGCUACCAGGGACCCUAUAACCCCCUCCCUCACCGAGACCUGCAGCGUCAUGCUUCACUUCUUGCAGGUGGUGUGGGUGGCAGCAGUCAUGUCCCAGGCACUGCUCGCAACAUCCUUCCCACUCUCGUCCACAGACGAGUUCCCGGGUGGUCAGGCCGGCCACGUCCCUCAUGCCCCCCCGACGACAGCACGUCCAGAUCAUCACGAAGGAACUAUUAACCCCAUAGCAGUCAUAAGACCCAUCACAUACCCUACUCCAUUCCCCAGACCAGCCAAAUAGAAGUUCCUGUACAUAGAAAAAACCUGCUUUUUCUAGACCAGCUGGAGGACCUAAUAUAUCUUAAAGGUACGCGGCGGAUGUAAGAUUACAGCACCCUGCUGCUGUUUUCAGCACAAGCUGACGUUGCAUUCCCAAACACCAACAAGAAGUAAAUAAGGUUGCACUUUCCAAGCCAACUCCAGGUUCCAAAAUUAUUAAUAAACAAUUCUAGGAUAUGAUCCUGUAAUUAUCGCGGCUGAAUUAUCCUGCCGCUUUUUCUGAACCACCUUUAAACCAACAUUCUACUUCAGAACUUCCCAGGGAUCCAUGACCAGUUGCCAGGCUGCCCUGAGGCAACCGAGGCGAUGCAUGGCGUCGCCCUGGUACUGUACUGCAAAUAUCUCACCGAUUCAUAUUAAUACCUGUCUAAAUGUCUAAAUACUCUAAACACCUGUGAUUGCUAUUAAAGUCUCGCAAUUAUUUUAUAUAAAUCUUAUUAAGAACUCUGCAAAUAUUCUCGACCCUGGGCAUAGGUUGGUGCUCUUAAGUAACUAACGGCAUGUAAACUUACCUGUUGUUCCUUGAAUAUAUUUAUCAUAAAAAAUAACUAAAGUGUG